rnacentral:rRNA from 1 species
CCUACGGGUGGCUGCAGUGAGGAAUAUUGGUCAAUGGGCGAGAGCCUGAACCAGCCAAGUCGCGUGAGGGAGGACGGCCCUACGGGUUGUAAACCUCUUUUGCCGGGGGACAAACGGCGGCACGCGUGCCGUCCUGAGGGUACCCGGCGAAAAAGCAUCGGCUAACUCCGUGCCAGCAGCCGCGGUAAUACGGAGGAUGCGAGCGUUAUCCGGAUUUAUUGGGUGUAAAGGGUGCGUAGUCGGGAUGCCAAGUCAGCGGUCAACUACGGGGGCCCAACCUGCGUCCGCCGUUGAAACUGGCGUUCUGGAGUGGGCGAGAAGUACGCGGAAUGCGUGGUGUAGCGGUGAAAUGCAUAGAUAGCACGCAGAACCCCGAUUGCGAAGGCAGCGUACCGGCGCCCAACUGACGCUGAAGCACGAAAGCGUGGGUAUCGAACAGGAUUAGAUACCCUUGUAGUC